GACAGAGGGUGCAAACGUUGUUCGGAAUUACUGGGCGUAAAGCGCGUGUAGGCGGUUCGGAAAGUCGGAUGUGAAAGCCCUGGGCUCAACCCAGGAAGUGCACUCGAAACUCCCGAACUGGAGUCCUGGAGAGGAAGGCGGAAUUCUCGGUGUAGAGGUGAAAUUCGUAGAUAUCGAGAGGAACACCUGCGGCGAAGGCGGGUUGCUGGGCUGACACUGACGCUGAACUGCGAAAGCUAGGGGAGCGAACGGG
rnacentral:rRNA from 1 species